rnacentral:rRNA from 1 species
GACGAACCGUGCGAACGUUAUUCGGAAUCACUGGGCGUAAAGCGCACGUAGGCGGCUUUUUAAGUCAGAGGUGAAAUCCUGGAGCUCAACUCCAGAACUGCCUUUGAUACUGAGAGGCUUGAGUCCGGGAGAGGUGAGUGGAACUGCGAGUGUAGAGGUGAAAUUCGUAGAUAUUCGCAAGAACACCAGUGGCGAAGGCGGCUCACUGGCCCGGUACUGACGCUGAGGUGCGAAAGCGUGGGGAGCAAACAGG